GGUCUCCCAGCCAAUAAGUUUGAGCAGAAACCUAUCCUCUACAAGACAGGGUUGUUCGAUUUGCCUAACCAAUGAGAAAAACAUGGCCUUUGGUUGUGGACACAUGACAUGUUUGGAGUGUGGAUCAAAAAUUCGCAAGUGCCAUAUAUGUCGAAUGAAGAUUACCAAUCGUAUUAGGUUGUUUCUUGAUUAAUUGAGGAAAGAGUUAGCAGGUCAUUUAUGCCAUUACAUGUGUGUCUGCAACAUCAUUAAAGAGACAUGUUUUUCUUUUUCAUUUCGGCUACAUAUGUUUUGCAGUAAGAUCAAAUCUUGACCAGUAGAUUUUACAGUGACAGUCAAGAUUAUUGAUCAAUAAAGGUCAUUUGACCAUGUGUAUAUAUUUCUUGUGUGAAUAUAUCAAAAUCUGUAUGAAUUUUGAACAACAAGGAGAUGACAAAAGUUAAUUUGUUGAGACAGUGUCAUCCAUAAAACUUGUG